rnacentral:rRNA from 1 species
AAACCUUUGCGACCCCAGGUCAGGCGGGGUUACCCGCUGAGUUUAAGCAUAUCAAUAAGCGGAGGAA